UAGGUAAUGGCUGAAGAAGUCCAUAAGAUUGAUGACAAGGAGUUUAUACCUUGAAUAAAUAUUAUAUGAUUGAAGAAAGUCUUUUAUAGCCUUUCAUAUUUACAACCACUAAAAAUCUCUAGAUAUUAGCUCUAAAGUCUUGUGUAUCCAGAAUGCUAUGCUACUGGAAAGUUAUGAUGUGCUUGAAGAAAAUGUAAACAUGCUUCUUCUUUUGACACAUAUAGGCAUCCUUCCAGUUAAAGUAGGUUUUUUUUGAAUCUAAACUUAGAAGUAU
rnacentral:lncRNA from 1 species